rnacentral:rRNA from 1 species
GAAAUGCGUAGAUAUUUGGAGGAACACCAGUGGCGAAGGCGGCAUACUAGAUCGAUACUGACGCUCAGUCACGAAAGCGUGGGGAGCAAAUAGGAUUAGAUACCCUAGUAGUCCACGCUGUAAACGUUGAGAACUAAGUGUCGGGGAGACCCGGUGCUGAAGCUAACGCAUUAAGUUCUCCGCCUGAGGAGUACGCACGCAAGUGUGAAACUUAAAGGAAUUGACGGGGGCCCGCACAAGCAGUGGAGCAUGUGGUUUAAUUCGUGGCUACGCGAAGAACCUUACCAGGACUUGACAUGCCUCUAAAGACCUUAGAAAUAAGGGGAUAGUUAUAGCGGACACAGGUGGUGCAUGGUUGUCGUCAGCUCGUGUCGUGAGAUGUUCGGUUAAGUCCGGCAACGAGCGCAACCCUUGUCCUUAGUUGCCAGCAUUAAGUUGGGGUCUCUAAGGAGACCGCCGGUGUAAACCGGAGGAAGGUGGGGAUGACGUCAAAUCAUCAUGCCCUUUAUGUCCUGGGCGACACACGUGCUACAAUGGCCGUUACAAAGAGCAGCAAAACCGCGAGGUCAAGCAAAUCUCAUAAAGACGGUCUCAGUUCGGAUUGGAGUCUGCAACUCGACUCCAUGAAGUCGGAAUUGCUAGUAAUCGUAGAUCAGCCAUGCUACGGUGAAUACGUUCCCGGGCCUUGUACACACCGCCCGUCAAACCAUGAAAGCUGGUAAUACUCGAAGUCGGUAUCCUAACUUUGCAAAAAGAGGGAGCCGCCCAAGGUAGGAUCAGUAAUUGGGGUUAAGUCGUAACCAAGGUAACCGAAAGGGCGAAUUCGUAACUCG